rnacentral:lncRNA from 1 species
CCAAAUCUAAAUUUAUUUAUUUCAUCCUUACAUUUACAAUUUCAAAAUGACAUACACAUAAGACAUCCUAGGUACAUGCCAUUACCAAUAAUUAACACACUUUACCUUAAUGAAUUCGGGAUCGGACUGGGAUACUGGUUCAACGUUCUAUCUUUACUAAACCUGCGCACGGAAACAAACCGUACGCUGAGUAUGGUAUACUCAGUGGUAUUUCUAUAAUUCAAAUUAUAAUAGCAAUAAUUACCAAACAUGUAACUAUCUAAUUUCACAAAUAUCAAUUCAUUCUUAAACUUUCAUUAAUUAAUAAUAACGAUACAAUUUUUAGCUAUUCUUUAGCUUCCAUCACAUAUUACAUGUAACAAUUUCAAUCAAUACAUGAACAUUAAGUUCAUGCCUUUCAUUUUCAAUCUCAAUUUCAAUCCACUAUUCAAAUUUUUCGUUUCUUUCAAUAUUUCAAUAAUAUAAUCAAUCAAUUUAUUUUAAAUUUCUCAUUUUAGAUAUUCACCCUAUUAACAAAUCCGGACUUUGACGGAUACACGGAUUCCAACCCAACACACUAGUACGGCACAUUGUGCCUAAAACGAUACACAGUACCUAAUCAGUAUACGACACAUAAAGUGCCUGAAACGACACACGAGGUGCCUGAUACGACACACGAGGUGCCUGAAAUACGACACAUAAAGUGCCUAAUCAGUAAAGCCGGCAAAUUCCCGUACACUUCCAGAUCCUAUGGCAUGCCAAUUAUAUCCGACUUAGCCCGACUAGUUAAUAGGGUAUUUCAAUUCUCAAUUCACUUUCAUUUCCAUUCCAAGAUUACUUUUCAAUUAAAAUUUUCACAUUCAAAUCAAUUUACAAUUCAAUUAUACAUACACAUUCACCAUUCAAUUCAAUUCUCAUUCAACUCAAAUAUCAAUACUUACCUUAUAAUUCACUUAUUAAAUAUAGAAUUGAUAUAAAACAUUUAAUAAAAUGUAAUUUAAAUUAUAGUAAUACAAACCGUGAAUUUCUCGUUUUAAUCCUCGAUAGCUUUCUCCUUUCCUUUGUGCGCCGAUGUCUUGGGUUCUUUGUUAACUACGAAAAUAAUAAUAAUUUAUAAUCAUCAAUAUAACACAAUUCAAUUUAAUCCAUGAGCCUAAACAUGCAAAUUUAACCAUUUUUAUACAUAUAAUUCCACUAUUUACUUAUAUGUUCAUUCCAAUAAUUCAAUCAAUCAAAUUCACUCGAUUUAUCUUUUCACUUAUUUACCCCUAUUUCAUCAUUUUGUUCAUCAUGAACUUUGUUUAAAAACUUAAAAACUUCUAAACUACUAACUUAAUUCUAUCAAAACCUUGUUUUAAUACUUUUAGAACAUCAAAAUUAAGAGAAAAGGACAUGAUUGAACUUACCAAUUAAACUCCAAGCUUCAAAAACCCUAUUUCCCCUUUUCUCUCUUUUAUUUUCUUCUUUCCUUCCCCUGCUCGAAUGCUUUCUG